AUGAUGUCCAAUUGGGUGUCUUGGCGUGUCCAUGUCAUCACAAAAAGAUUGCCCGGCGCUGCUCGUUUGCUUCGCCGAGAAGAAAGAGAGAGUCAGGAAGUCGCCUCGAGCCCCCACCCUUCCUCUCCCAAAACACGCAACCUAUCCUCUCCCAGCGUCUGUGAAGGUGGAGUGGAGGAAAAGGAGAAGGAGAACGUGGGCGGAGGAGAAGGAGGAGGGGACGCGGCUGCGAGCACGCCGGCGGCCGUGCACCUCGAGGGAGAAUUGGGUGGGAGGAGAAGGCGACUUGGCGGCUUUGAUAUAUGGCCUUCCACCGGCGCCGCCACAGGGAUAGAUGGCAGGAUCUGA
rnacentral:rRNA from 1 species